UACAAGUGCGUUAUUCGUUACUCCGAUAUUUCUGUAAACCAUCCCCUGUGUGUCAAAAAUAGCAAAAACAAAAUACAAAAAAGCUUAUGAAAGAAGAAUGAAAACAAAAUAAAAAAAUAAAAACAAAAACAAAUCCCCAGCAAUAGCACAAAUAAAAGCGUGAAACAUUCACUGCCAAACAAUAGCCAAUGACAACAACAAAACGUGUCUCAAAACCGCAUCGGCGUAUUGAAAACGCCAACGGAAUUUCAAUUUGCCAACCCAACCAAAAAUGAGUGUGCCUCAGCAUGCCACGAUCAAUACCACCAUCACCAAUGAGGCCCCUGGCUCCACUUCAGUGGCAUCUCAUUUUUGGUUAUCGACGUCGACGAGUAAGCGAACCUCGCUGAUGACUGCACCGCCAAUAGCAACUAAACUCAAUUUUUUAUGGGCUACGAAGGUAGCAGUGAAUCAUUGGCGCUGAAUAAAGUGCUGGAUAUCAAUUCAGUGUGUGUGUGUGUGAUUGCAAAUGAAAUCAAAUAUCAAACAUUAGAAGAUUAUGAGCUCCUGAUAUGUAAAUCAUCCGGAAGCAGACAAUACUUUUCGUUUUCGGCUUUUGUUUUUCGGCUGGAGAAAUAAUUAUUUUUAGGGCGACCGCUGUAGCCGAAUGGCUGUAAAUCCCUUCAUUGUGGAACAACAUCAAGACGCACAACAAAAAUCGAAAGAGGAGCGUGGCCUACAUACUACUACAGUGUCGGACAAAACAUAUUGGACUGAUACCUAUUAAUGGAGCUAUUUCUUUUUACUCUUGCAAAUAUUAUUUUAAAUAAGAAAAAAUAUCACAGAAAUGAAAAGCAACCAGUUGUUAUAUGAAAACAUAAAAAAUAUUUUCUAAGAUAAGGAUAAGACUGUAUUACAUUA